ACAAAUCCCACCGGGGGCUUCGGGGGGUUGAAGUCAAUGUCUUCCAAUGGGUUGACGUUAGGGAUGACAACGGGUCAGAUUGGGCACGGAUAGUGCUUAUCUGCAACCUGACCCGCCGGAUGAAAAUGUACUCGCCACCCGACCCGCUACCCGCCGGGUACCCGUUUAAAAAAUACUCGCGGGUAUUUUAAAACCCGUGGGUACCCACAGAUACCCGC
rnacentral:lncRNA from 1 species